rnacentral:tRNA from 1 species
CCACUAACAGCUCAAUGGUUAGAGCUUUGACUUCUGAUCAACGGGUCGUGGGUUCGAUCCCCAGGUGGUGAA